rnacentral:misc_RNA from 1 species
UCGGUGCAACAUGAUCGAAACGCGUCGGGAUAACAAAUUAAAAAAGUGCUUAAUACACUGAUAUACUACUACCGGUAGUAGUACAUGAAUGGCCUAAUAGAAUGAUUAAUUACUUUUGUGAGCUAUUUGUGAUCUGUGUUUAAAACUGACUUUGGCGCAGAUUGCGUCACAUUCAUCCUCGUGGUCAUGCUGCUAAAUAAAGGCUGCGAUGUGAAUGGGAAGAAGUCAAGACAGAGGACAAGAAUGAAGAAAAGCUUAAGAAAAUCAGAAAAAGUAAUGAAAUCUUGUCAAGUACCAGAAAAAUAGACAUGAAGUCUUAAAAGGACAGGAGCGAACGGUCUCAGAAGGCGAGGGAGACAAACGUACACGAGAUAUCAAACGCUAGAGUUAGAGAAAGAGUUCCACACGAAUCACUACCUAACGCGGAGGAGACGUAUCGAGAUGGCGCACGCACUUUGUCUCAC